CCUACGGGAGACAGCAGUGAGGAAUAUUGGUCAAUGGGCGCGAGCCUGAACCAGCCAAGUAGCGUGAAGGAUGACUGCCCUACGGGUUGUAAACUUCUUUUAUAAAGGAAUAAAGUGAGGCACGUGUGCCUUUUUGUAUGUACUUUAUGAAUAAGGAUCGGCUAACUCCGUGCCAGCAGCCGCGGUAAUACGGAGGAUCCGAGCGUUAUCCGGAUUUAUUGGGUUUAAAGGGAGCGUAGAUGGGUUGUUAAGUCAGUUGUGAAAGUUUGCGGCUCAACCGUAAAAUUGCAAUUGAUACUGGCAGCCUUGAGUACAGGAGAGGUAGGCGGAAUUCGUGGUGUAGCGGUGAAAUGCUUAGAUAUCACGAAGAACUCCGAUUGCGAAGGCAGCUUACUAAACUGCCACUGACAUUGAUGCACGAAAGUGUGGGUAUCGAACAGGAUUAGAUACCCGUGUAGUC
rnacentral:rRNA from 1 species